rnacentral:tRNA from 1 species
GGGAUUAUAGCUCAGCUGGGAGAGCGACCUGCCUUACAAGCAGGGGGUCACAGGUUCGAGCCCUGUUAAUCCCACCA